AACAUACUCCCUUCGUCCCAAAAUUCUUGUCUUAGAUUUGUCUAAAUACGGAUGUAUCAAGUCACGUUUUAGUAUUAGAUACAUCCGUAUCUAGACAAAUUUAAGACAAAAAUUUUGGGACGGAAGGAGUACCUU
rnacentral:pre_miRNA from 1 species